UUACAUUUUGGCAAAGCAGAACACAAGUGUAAACCGUCUUGUUUGAUAUUUCAUAAUCAUUUUAUUAUUCCUAUUUGUCAAUAACAAUAUAAUAAAAGACUGUAACGAUUGUUACAUAUUAUUAAUGUCUACUCAUGUAAUAUGGAUAUUGCUGAGUAGACAUCACGUUCAUUUACAUGUUAACGAUAUUACGUGGCAGUUUUGCCACGACGUUCUUCCGAUGUAGCUGAACUCCAUAUUGUCUUGAUGUAGUCCAUUGUCCUUCGUGCAUAGACGUCUUACCGUCCACACGUAUAUUGUCAAGCGUUCCGUCUUUAUCAGCUUCCGAUAGCGUGUGUAGUGUUGUGACCAGUUUCGUCGCAUACCUGUACCUUCGAUCAAGCAGGAAAAAUCCUUUCGGGUUGUUCUCAAAAACCUCCACCACUCAACUCCAAUCGAUUUCUUAACCGAAG